GACGAACGCUGGCGGCGUGCCUAAUACAUGCAAGUAGAACGCUGAAGAGAGGAGCUUGCUCUUCUUGGAUGAGUUGCGAACGGGUGAGUAACGCGUAGGUAACCUGCCUUGUAGCGGGGGAUAACUAUUGGAAACGAUAGCUAAUACCGCAUAACAAUGGAUGACACAUGUCAUUUAUUUGAAAGGGGCAAUUGCUCCACUACAAGAUGGACCUGCGUUGUAUUAGCUAGUAGGUGAGGUAAUGGCUCACCUAGGCGACGAUACAUAGCCGACCUGAGAGGGUGAUCGGCCACACUGGGACUGAGACACGGCCCAGACUCCUACGGGAGGCAGCAGUAGGGAAUCUUCGGCAAUGGGGGCAACCCUGACCGAGCAACGCCGCGUGAGUGAAGAAGGUUUUCGGAUCGUAAAGCUCUGUUGUAAGUCAAGAGCGGGUGUGAGAGUGGAAAGUUCACACUGUGACGGUAGCUUACCAGAAAGAGACGGCUAACUACGUG
rnacentral:rRNA from 1 species